AUGCAGAGCUCAAGGUCAUCGUCGCCCAACGAAAUUUGCACAAAAUUUGGCAUAUGUGCUCCUGGUGGUUACAUGCAUGGUGCUCUACUCCGUACUACAUAAUUGUGUUGGAGGUUGUCCUGUUGGUCCCAGGAGCUGCAGAGGAGGUAAGCGGCCUGGAUGGAUUAUAACAUGCAUUUGCGCUUUUAUGUUGUAUUUAUAUACAGUUUUUCAAGGGCAGAAACAUAUAUAGUUAUUUUCUUGUAAGGUGCAUCCUUGGUUGUAGCUAACCAUGUCAACAUUUCGAAAUUGAACUUGCAUUGAAGAAUUAAUUAAAGGGGCUUGCCCUUCAUGGUUGGUUGUACAACAGACUUGGAAUGACUGAAUACAACUUCACAUUACUUCUCUUCUCUGUUUCAUCAACUUAUCUUGAAAGUGUUCCUUUGCUAACAAAAGAAAUCUCUUCGAGCGGGCAAUUUUUCAUUGUGCCAUAACAUCCAGCUGGCAUUCACAUGACUUGGUCAAUCAUACGUGCAGGCUUACAUCACUGUUCUCGACUUGCUGAAUUUUGCACAAGAUCAAUUUCACAAUAAAAUGAGGAAGAGAGCUCAAGGAGCAUAUUUGGAUGGUGGAAGAGCUCUAAAGUGCCGACACUCCACUCGGACAGGCCAAGUGAGGUAGUGUGCUCGUGCUCGUAACUACUCAGUACGCAGCACACAAUUCGAAUGCCAUUAAUUUGUGUGAACUUCGAAUUUCUGCCUAGUUUUGUAUUGACCUUCAACAAAAAUUCAAAUGCUUGUCAAAUUCAUACGUUGUACCAUUUUAGUUUUACCGACCC
rnacentral:lncRNA from 1 species